CUGCCUCAUUAGGACCAGGUUUUGGUCUCUAUGAGGACUACUGGUUCUGACAAUGACAGAAAACGUCCUCAAGAGGUAACACACACACACAUGUACACACGUGUGAUGAUGAUGAACGUGGAGCUUUCAGUGGGCGGAGCCUGGUUCCGCUGGUGUCAGUGGGCGUGGUUAUAUGACGACGAUAGUGAAUGACGCUGCUGUGAUGAUGAAGAUCUGACGCUCCUCCUCCUCUUCCUCCUCCUCCUUGUGGUGGACGCGUGACGCGCCGGAACCGCAUCUGCAGGAUGACAGGUCCUGCUGACGGACCCUGCGUCUUCUGACGACUGCAGACCCUGAGAUCCAGGACCGGGACCAGGACCAGGACCCUAGAACGGUAGUGACAAACACUCGGCCCGAUCCACGCUGGUUUUAAGUCUUUAUAAUAAUGUAGACCCUUGAAUUGAGUCUAUUUUUUGGGGGGGAAAAAAACUUUAUUGGUCACAAAGAUUUCAACAGUGACGGAUGAAGACAAAGUAAAGAUAAAAUGUGAAGUGGUUUCUGAUCCUGGUCUGUGGUCUUUGACACCUGAUCCAGGAUUUGUCCUGAAGAAAGUUUGUCACACUUGUUAUUAUUAUUAUUAUUUUUUUUAAUAAAGUCGGCAGUUUAACAGACGACUGGAAACCACAUGCUUAUGCAAA